rnacentral:tRNA from 1 species
UGGAUAUAUAACUCAGUUGGUUAGAGUAUCACGUUGACAUUGUGGAAGUCACUGGUUCGAAUCCAGUUAUAUCCAA